CAGGCUUAACACAUGCAAGUCGAACGGAACUAUUUUGACUGAUUCCUUCGGGAUGAAGAAUUUUUAGUUUAGUGGCGGACGGGUGAGUAACGCGUGAGUAACCUGCCUCUGAGAGGGGAAUAACGUUCUGAAAAGAACGCUAAUACCGCAUAACACAUAUUUGCCGCAUGGCAGAUAUGUCAAAGAUUUUAUGGUUCGGAGAUGGACUCGCGUCCGAUUAGGUAGUUGGUGAGGUAACGGCUCACCAAGACCGCGAUCGGUAGCCGGACUGGGAGGUUGAACGGCCACAUUGGGGCCGAGACACGGCCCAGACUCCUACGGGAGGCAGCAGUGGGGGAUAUUGCGCAAUGGGGGCAACCCUGACGCAGCAACGCCGCGUGAAGGAUGAAGGUUUUCGGAUUGUAAACUUCUUUUAUCAGGGACGAACUCUGACGGUACCUGAUGAAUAAGCUCCGGCUAACUACGUGCCAGCCGCCGCUGUAAAAC
rnacentral:rRNA from 1 species